rnacentral:rRNA from 1 species
UACGGGGGGAGCAAGCGUUGUUCGGAUUUACUGGGCGUAAAGCGCACGUAGGCGGCUUUGUAAGUUAGAGGUGAAAGCCCGGGGCUCAACCCCGGAAUAGCCUUUAAGACUGCAUCGCUUGAACACGGGAGAGGUGAGUGGAAUUCCGAGUGUAGAGGUGAAAUUCGUAGAUAUUCGGAAGAACACCAGUGGCGAAGGCGGCUCACUGGACCGUUGUUGACGCUGAGGUGCGAAAGCGUGGGGAGCAAACAGG